GACGAACGCUGGCGGCGUGCCUAAUACAUGCAAGUAGAACGCUGACGGAGUAGCUUGCUUCUCUGGAUGAUUUGCGGUCGGGUGAGUAACGCGUAGGUAACCUGCCUGGUAUUGUGGGAUAACUUUUCGAAACGAUAGUUAAUACCGCAUAACAUUAGAUAUCGCAUUAUAUCUACUUGAAAUUUGCACUUUCCUCACUACCAUAUGGCCCUGCGUUGUAUUAGCUAGUUGGUGAGGUAACGGCUCACCAAGGCGACGAUACAUAGCCGACCUGAGAGGGUGAUCGGCCACACUGGGACUGAGACACGGCCCAGACUCCUACGGGAGGCAGCAGUAGGGAAUAUUCGGCAAUGGACGGAAGUCUGACCGAGCAACGCCGCGUGAGUGAAGAAGGUUUUCGGAUCGUAAAGCUCUGUUGUAAGAGAAGAAAGAGUGUGGGAGUGGAAAGUGCACACUGUGACGGUAUCUUACCAGAAAGGGACGGCUAACUACGU
rnacentral:rRNA from 1 species